rnacentral:rRNA from 1 species
GACGGAAAGACCCCGUGAACCUUUACUAUAGCUUGACACUGAACAUUGAAUUUUGAUGUGUAGGAUAGGUGGGAGCCUUUGAAGCAGUGACGCCAGUCAUUGUGGAGGCGACCUUGAAAUACCACCCUUUAACGUUUGAUGUUCUAACGAAGUGCCUGAAACGGGUACUCGGACAGUGUCUGGUGGGUAGUUUGACUGGGGCGGUCUCCUCCCAAAGCGUAACGGAGGAGCACGAAGGUUUGCUAAUGACGGUCGGACAUCGUCAGGUUAGUGCAAUGGUAUAAGCAAGCUUAACUGCGAGACAGACAAGUCGAGCAGGUGCGAAAGCAGGUCAUAGUGAUCCGGUGGUUCUGAAUGGAAGGGCCAUCGCUCAACGGAUAAAAGGUACUCCGGGGAUAACAGGCUGAUACCGCCCAAGAGUUCAUAUCGACGGCGGUGUUUGGCACCUCGAUGUCGGCUCAUCACAUCCUGGGGCUGAAGUAGGUCCCAAGGGUAUGGCUGUUCGCCAUUUAAAGUGGUACGCGAGCUGGGUUUAGAACGUCGUGAGACAGUUUA